CGCACACUGGGCCAUAGACAUCUCGCGAGAUGGGCCCCCACCUUGAGUCCUGCUUCCUCAUGAUCUUAGUUUUUCCUUGCAACUGCCGCCUUUGGCUUUCUCACUGGGGCUUGGACUCAGACAUCUGUAACGCUGCUUUGUGAGAUGGUGAGAGUCCUGGUCAAGAUUGCAGCAGCACAUAACAAUCAACUUCCUCAUAUGAACAUAAAUCAAAACAAAACACAUCAUACAGCCCCGGUUUAUUGAAAUGACUGACCGACAUCUAAGCCCACUUUUAAUAUCUUUAAACCAUGUUCUGAAGUUUUAAAUCGUUCUGUAAGAAAUUCCAAUCGGAUGCAGUAGCAUACCUAAUGUCACGUGGUUUGGCCCGCUGCGUGCAGUGCGAGGGUGUUGUUUGUUUAUUUGUAACCACGCCUGCACACACCUGUACCUGGUUAGUGUUUUGUCUUUGUGUAGUUAAACCCCUGUCAUUGUGUGCUGUCGGUCAUUGCCGUUGUUCAAGUCGUGUAAAUUCGUAUUCAUGGUCACCGCUUGUGUUAUAUGUGAGUGCCGGUGUCUUCGUAUGUCAAUAUCUGUCCACGUCGAUUGGAGUCUGUGCGUUCUGCUCCUCGCCCUGCGCACUCGGCCGUCACACCUAAAAGCUUGUUUUCCUAACUAAUGAGGCAGAUAUAAAGCCACAUUUGAAAUGAUUCACACUAGCUAGUGAGAUUCAAAUGAUCUAAAUUUGUAGAUUACAGAAUUUGUCAUUGGUCUGUUGGUGCUUUAAAGUUACUAAUGUAAUAACCCUGAUGUCAAUUUAUUUACACUCUGAAGCAUUUUGAACUGUGCAUUUUUAUGAUGGGUACUAUUAAAUGAAAUUAUUAAUACUAUUAUUAGUAGUAGCAGUAAUAAUUCUAGUAGUAGUAGUAAUAGUAGUAGUGUGGCAAACGUAAAGCAGAUGACUGCAUUGGUCAUUUCAGUUUAAUGUUCAAAAUGUUCAAUGUUCUUAUUUGACACAAAUAAGAGCAAAUAGGUAACAGAUUAAUUCAGGUAAUAGUACAACAGGAAAUGUUAUUUUGUAAUGAAGAUCCUAAAGAAAAAAUGGUAGAACAGAACUGCUAUUAGCUGGAAAUCUCCACAUCGGAACAGUUGCACCCAGGACACCUUUGGGGCAGAUUUCCGCUCACCUUCCAGUUGUAAUGUGGAAGAUAAACUGGAAGCUCUGUGUCUCUUCACAUCUACAUGAGUUUACAUGUGUUUUACAAGAUCUCAUCCCUGCUGCUGUGGUACCACCAUUGGGACUUGUAUUUAAUAUAU